UAGUCGAUUGAACUUUUCUGU
ensembl:piRNA 21ur-2496 ncRNA